rnacentral:rRNA from 1 species
UACGUAGGGUGCGAGCGUUAAUCGGAAUUACUGGGCGUAAAGCGUGCGCAGGCGGUUAUACAAGACAGGCGUGAAAUCCCCGGGCUUAACCUGGGAAUGGCGCCUGUGACUGUAUAGCUAGAGUGUGUCAGAGGGGGGUAGAAUUCCACGUGUAGCAGUGAAAUGCGUAGAUAUGUGGAGGAAUACCAAUGGCGAAGGCAGCCCCCUGGGAUAACACUGACGCUCAUGCACGAAAGCGUGGGGAGCAAACAGGAUUAGAUACCCCUGUAGUCC